CCUACGGGGGGCAGCAGUGGGGAAUAUUGCACAAUGGGGGAAACCCUGAUGCAGCGACGCCGCGUGGGCGACGAAGCGCUCCGGCGCGUAAAGCCCUGUCAGCAGGGAAGAACAAAGACAGUACCUGACCAAGAAGCCCCGGCUAACUACGUGCCAGCAGCCGCGGUAAUACGUAGGGAGCGAGCGUUGUCCGGAAUUACUGGGUGUAAAGGGAGCGUAGGCGGGGAUGCAAGUUGGGUGUCAAAACUACCGGCUCAACUGGUAGUCGCACUCAAAACUGCAGCUCUUGAGUGAAGUAGAGGCAG
rnacentral:rRNA from 1 species